AGUGAACGCUGGCGGUAGGCCUAACACAUGCAAGUCGAACGGCAGCACAGUAAGAGCUUGCUCUUACGGGUGGCGAGUGGCGGACGGGUGAGGAAUACAUCGGAAUCUACUUUUUCGUGGGGGAUAACGUAGGGAAACUUACGCUAAUACCGCAUACGACCUACGGGCGAAAGCAGGGGAUCUUCGGACCUUGCGCGAUUGAAUGAGCCGAUGUCGGAUUAGCUAGUUGGCGGGGUAAAGGCACACCAAGGCGACGAUACGUAGCUGGUCUGAGAGGAUGAUCAGCCACACUGGAACUGAGACACGGUCCAGACUCCUACGGGAGGCAGCAGUGGGGAAUAUUGGACAAUGGGCGCAAGCCUGAUCCAGCCAUACCGCGUGGGUGAAGAAGGCCUUCGGGUUGUAAAGCCCUUUUGUUGGGAAAGAAAAGCAGCAGGUUAAUACCCCGCUGUUCUGACGGUACCCAAAGAAUAAGCACCGGCUAACUUCGUG
rnacentral:rRNA from 1 species